GCGGGGGUAGCCAAGAGGACAAAGGCGCAGCGUUGAGUGCGCUGUCCCACAGGGGUUCCGGGGUUCGAAUCCCCGCCCUCGCACCA
rnacentral:tRNA from 1 species